CUCUAUUUAUAUAGGAACAAAUGGGGUUGAAGUGUGUGAAAAAAGAUUCACUUUGUGUAAAAAAAAUAAAGUUAUUGUUGUUUUCUGCGUAGUGUAACCGGUUACCAGGAUCCAGGGUAACCGGUUACGCUGACCAAAAAUGGCAUGGGGAACCUUCGUUACGUAGGUGUAACCGGUUACCAGGAUCCUGAGUAACCGGUGACACAUACCAAAAAUUUCAUAUGGAACCUAUGUUAAAAGGGGUGUAACCGGUUACACAGAAUUUGGUAACUGGUUACACAGACUAAAAAAAGGAUUUGAUAUUUUGUUGUACAUUUCCCUUUGAAGCUUUAUCCGGAAAAAC
rnacentral:lncRNA from 1 species